rnacentral:rRNA from 1 species
AGAGCGAACGCUGGCGGCAGGCCUAACACAUGCAAGUCGAGCGCCCGUAGCAAUACGGGAGCGGCAGACGGGAUAGUAACACGUGGGAACGCGCCCUUCGGUUCGGAAUAACUCAGGGAAACUUGAGCUAAUACCGGAUACGCCCUUACGGGGAAAGAUUUAUUGCCGAAGGAACGGCCCGCGUCCGAUUAGCUAGUUGGUGAGGUAAUGGCUCACCAAGGCGACGAUCGGUAGCUGGUCUGAGAGGAUGACCAGCAUCACUGGGACUGAGACACGGCCCAGACUCCUACGGGAGGCAGCAGUGGGGAAUAUUGAACAAUGGGCGCAAGCCUGAUCCAGCCAUGCCGCGUGGAUGAUGAAGGCCUUAGGGUUGUAAAGUCCUUUUAACGGGGAAGAUAAUGACGGUACCCGUAGAAUAAGCCCCGGCUAACUUCGCGCCAGCAGCCGC